rnacentral:lncRNA from 1 species
CAGAGCUCUGGAUUCCCAAAGCCUCAGAACCUAACUGAUAUCAGGCACUAUGCUCAUUCUACAAAGGAUCAUGUUUGCAGAGUACUGACCACCAUCUAGGAAGAGAAGCUUUGUUUAUGAUGAGAACCUACUUCUGACCUACUGAAAGCUACAACUGCAAACAUAUGCACUGAGUGUCAUUAACACUGUUUCUUGAGGGGAGUACGGUUCUGAGUGAAUCUGAAUGUGGGAAAUGAGGGAGAGAUGAUAUCUGAAAACCCCUGGAAGUUGCCUCAUGCUACCUAAUAAAGAAUGAAU